UAUUAAUAUAAAGAUCUCCAAUCUUAGAAAAUCAUUCAUUUGUGCAACGACAACUUUGAGUAACGAUCAAAUCUUCUUUAAAACUAACAAUGGGAUGCACAUGUAAAAGAUUGUUCUUCAUAACUGGACUUAUUAUUAUGGAAUUGGUUGACCUUGGUCUAGACUGGGACUUUUUCGUUGAAGUAAAUAAAACGGACCAAGAGAAAAUACAAAGAAAUUAUGAAUUGAAAUAUUCAAUCCUAGCAUUUGCAAUUAUUGGAUCAGUUACGUUUAUACUUCAACUAGUGGCUAUAUAUUAUGAUUCUAAGAAGAAUUACUCGCAUUUGACGUACUCAACAACGAUGUCAUUCAUUUCAACGUGGUUUGAAGAUGUCCCACAAAUUGUGCUGGCUAUUUGGGUAGCAAUCAUUUCAUCUGAUCUGAUAUCCAAUGUACAAUAUAUAAAAGCAGCAUAUGCAAUCUUAGAAGCCGUGAUUCAUUUUGGAGUUUCGAUUUGGCAAUUGCGUUGUAAGAGUGAAAAGUUCAAAUAUAAAAGAAAUAGCAGUUGUCUCAAGAAAUUACUCGUCCUUGAUCUUAUUGGCGGCAUCCUUCUUCUCGGAGCUUCCAUAUUCCUUCUGAUAGAACUACUCCUCGACAAUUAUAAUUGAUACCAGUUUGUGUUCAUAAUUAUAGUAAGGAUUAAUACUUUAUCAACAUUAUGUUUAUGUUAUCAGACGUUGUGGCUUAUAUUUUUUAUUUAUAUUUAUUUUAUGUCGAUAAAAUAUGUGAAGUUUUUAUUUAUAUUUAUUUCAUGUUUGGAAAUAUGUGAAGUGUUUUUUGUAGUUAUUUUGAUAAUAAAUGAUGUAUUUAUUUA